ACCCAGUUGUUACUACCGACCUUUAUAACGCCACCAACUAAGCGUUAGAUCUACCCGCAAUAUUUAUGGCUUUGACGUAGCAUAAACAAAUAUCAAGUUUAAUUGUAGUACUUACAAAGGGUACUUCAACAAAUCGCAUUGUUAUUUGACACAGUGUUGAUUGUGGUUUUAAGUCCAGACGUGUUUUAAAAUAACCUAAGUGAUUUCUUUGAAACAUGCCCUCGAAAAGGCCACUGAAGAAAAAGGCUUUAAGCCUUAACGAAAUAAUUGACAACCUACACCAUUUAGAUUCUGAUGAUGAUUUGCCAAAUAAAAAUCACUAUUUUUCCACCGGAAAAUUCGAAUACUGAAGUAACUGAUGAAGAUUCGGGUGAUGAAGAAUUUCUGUCAUUACAUAAUCUUCCAGGUUUGUUUUUAAUUCAACUUUGUACGUUAUUUUUCACUAUGGAAAAUAUAUAUUUGACAUCAUUUUAAUCGUUUUAGGAUCUCAGCUAAGGGCUCCCGCGGAGGCUAUAUAUAGCUCAUAUUCGGAAAAUGAGGAUUCGGAAGACGAUUUAUCUUUGUCGACUUUAGCCAAAAAAAUGCGUACUACUACCGAGAAUUCACAUGAAAAUGAGAACGAGCCUUCAGUUUCCAAUCCUAGAAUUAGUUCUACGCGUUUACCUAGUGUACUAAAAUCUCAACAGUACAAGUGGGUCAACCAGGAUAACCCGAGGGAACGUAGACAGUGGCAAGACCGGGAAGAGCCGAAAAAUCGUCAAUCUCCUAUGUAUUACUAUGAGUGUAUGAUGAAUGAUGAGAUAAUUGAGCUGUUGGUAUAUUAUACAAAUUUGUACGCGAGCCAGAAAAAUGCUGUCGGUAAUGUAACUAUUUCAGAAAUGAAGUGUUUUUUGGGAAUACUUUUAUACAGUGGUUACGUUUCGGUACCACGUCGAUAUAUGUUUUGGGAGAAAUCUUCUGAUACUCACUUUGACAUUGUGUAUAAUGACCCGAAGACGUGUUUUGUGGCCUAUCAUACUAGUGUUUAAUUUAUAGGCAAUUAUACAAAUGUUUAACAAUG